rnacentral:rRNA from 1 species
AUUGAACGCUGGCGGCAGGCCUAACACAUGCAAGUCGAACGAGAGGCGGACGGGUGGGUAGUGUCUGGGAAACUGCCUGAUGAAAGGGGAUAACUACUUGAAACGGUAGCUAAUGCCGCAAACGAUCAGAUGUGCCCAGAUGGGAUGAGCUAGUAGGUGGUGUAACGGCUCACCUAGGCGACGAGGCAUAGCUGGUAUGCGAGGAUGACCAGCAACACUGGAACUGAGACAAGGUCCAGACUCCUACGGGAGGCAGCAGUGGGAAAUAUUGCAAAAGGGGCGGAAGCCUGAUGCAGCGAUGCCGCGUGAAUGAAGAAGGUCUUCGGGUUGUAAAGGACUUUCAGCGGGGAGGCGUUACCUGCAGAAGAAGCACCGGCGAACUCCGCGCCAGCAGCCGCGGUAAUAC